UUAAAAUUAAAAUUAAUUUCAUUAAUAUAAACUCUACACAGAAGAUUAGCAUGGCCCCUGCAGAAGAAUGACACACACCAAUUGAGAAAUGGUUCAAUUUUAU